UAAAAUCCUUUAGGUUUACAUAGGUAUAUUACAUUUUUUCAUGUGUUUAUGAUGGCCAUUUUCCCCAAACACGUUACACUACAUUGCACUACAGAUACCUAAGUAUUCCGACUACAUGCAAUACUGCAGUGUAACGGCUAUACUUUGUAAUAUGUUUUAUACUUCGCGGUAAAUCGGAUUAUUGUUAGAAAUAAAAUAAACAUACCCGUAUAAAUCAUGUAUAAUUACUAUUAUAUAUAUAAUG